CAUAGCUCAGUUGGUUAGAGCGUCGGAUUGUGGUUCCGAAGGUCGUGGGUUCGACCCCCACUGUUCA
rnacentral:tRNA from 2 species